AUUGAACGCUGGCGGCAGGCCUAACACAUGCAAGUCGAGCGGAUGAAGGGAGCUUGCUCCUGGAUUCAGCGGCGGACGGGUGAGUAAUGCCUAGGAAUCUGCCUGGUAGUGGGGGAUAACGUCCGGAAACGGGCGCUAAUACCGCAUACGUCCUGAGGGAGAAAGUGGGGGAUCUUCGGACCUCACGCUAUCAGAUGAGCCUAGGUCGGAUUAGCUAGUUGGUGGGGUAAAGGCCUACCAAGGCGACGAUCCGUAACUGGUCGGAGGGGAUGAUCAGUCACCUGGGAACUGGAAACCGGCCCAAACCCUCAGGGGGGGCCGGGGGGGGAAAUUUGGGAAAUGGGGGGAAAGCCUAAGCAAGCCAGGCCGGGGGGGGGAAGAAGUUUUUCGGUUUGUAAAGCAUUUUAAGGUGGGAGGAAGGGAAGUAAGUUAAAACCUUGCUGUUUUGACGUUACCAACAAAAAAAGCACGGCCAACUUUGUG
rnacentral:rRNA from 1 species